rnacentral:rRNA from 1 species
GACGAACGCUGGCGGCGUGCUUAACACAUGCAAGUCGAACGGAAAGGCCCUGCUUUUGUGGGGUGCUCGAGUGGCGAACGGGUGAGUAGCACGUGAGUAACCUGCCCUUGACUUUGGGAUAACUCCAGGAAACUGGGGCUAAUACCGGAUAGGAGCUCCUGCUGCAUGGUGGGGGUUGGAAAGUUUCGGCGGUUGGGGAUGGACUCGCGGCUUAUCAGCUUGUUGGUGGGGUAGUGGCUUACCAAGGCUUUGACGGGUAGCCGGCCUGAGAGGGUGACCGGCCACAUUGGGACUGAGAUACGGCCCAGACUCCUACGGGAGGCAGCAGUGGGGAAUAUUGCACAAUGGGCGGAAGCCUGAUGCAGCAACGCCGCGUGCGGGAUGACGGCCUUCGGGUUGUAAACCGCUUUCGCCUGUGACGAAGCGUGAGUGACGGUAAUGGGUAAAGAAGCACCGGCUAACUACGUG